CCUACGGGAGGCAGCAGUGGGGAAUAUUGCACAAUGGGGGGAACCCUGAUGCAGCGACGCCGCGUGAGUGAAGAAGGAUUUCGGUAUGUAAAGCUCUAUCAGCAGGGAAGAAAAUGACGGUACCUGACUAAGAAGCCCCGGCUGACAACGUGCCAGCAGCCGCGGUAAUACGUAGGGGGCAAGCGUUAUCCGGUUUUACUGGGGGAAAAGGGAGCGCAGACGGCUGUGCAAGUCUGGAGUGAAAGGCGGGGGCCCAACCCCCGGACUGCUCUGGAGACUGGAAAGCUUGAGUGCAGGAGAGGUGAGCGGAAUUCCUAGUGUAGCGGUGAAAUGCGUAGAUAUUUGGAGGAACACCAGUGGCGAAGGCGGCUUACUGGACUGCAACUGACGUUGAGGCUCGAAAGCGUGGGGAGCAAACAGGAUUAGAUACCCUUGUAGUC
rnacentral:rRNA from 1 species